rnacentral:rRNA from 1 species
GUCCACGCCGUAACGAUGGAUACUAGCUGUUCGGAGCAAUCUGAGUGGCUAAGCGAAGUGAUAAGUAUCCCACCUGGGGAGUACGUUCGCAAGAAUGAACUCAAGGAAUUGACGGGGCCCGCACAAGCGGUGGAGCAUGUGGUUUAAUUCGAUGAUACGCGAGGAACCUUACCAAGGCUUAAAUGUAGAUUGACAGGACUGGAAACAGUUUUUCUUCGGACAAUUUACAAGGUGCUGCAUGGUUGUCGU